rnacentral:lncRNA from 12 species
GCAAGUGAUAUAUCAGAUUCUUAUUAAGAGAGAGAGAGAGAGAGAAACUCCAGUAGUAGUAGCAUGAUCAGGAAGUGGUUGCUGUGUUUUAGGAUAGAGAUGAUGGGGCCUGGACCAAGUAGGUGCUAACAGAGAGGCAGAAAAGUAGUCGUGGAAGGUCUAUUUUAGAGGUUGAAACUGCAGCAUAAAAAAAAAAAAAAAAAAAAGACACUGCAGCAUAAGCACAGAUGAAAAAAUGAAAGCUAAAAGGGAGGAAAUGGUAGGAACACCAAGGAUGUCCAGAUUCAAAAGACAUUUUGGAAAGAGAAUUUACAGAGCUGAUCACUAAACAGUAUGGACUGUCUGGAUGGGGCCACCUACUUCACCAUGCCAUCAAACAUCUUUGUCCAUAGUAUGCUCAUACAGAAGACUGCAAGAGUUUAUGAAAUUCCUUAUGACCUCCAAUACUUCUCCUCAGGCAUUCUUCAACCUCCUUUGACCAAGAAGCUAGAUUUUGGAUGGAUGCACACGGAGCUAUGUAGAAAGAUGAAGGCACCAGUUUAGUCAGCCAGAAAAUAAAGAACCUUCUGGCUAUAUAUGCGAUGUUAGA